UACGUAGGGUCCGAGCGUUGUCCGGAAUUAUUGGGCGUAAAGAGCUCGUAGGCGGUCUGUCGCGUCGGCUGUGAAAACACGGGGCUCAACUCCGUGCCUGCAGUCGAUACGGGCAGACUAGAGUUCGGUAGGGGAGACUGGAAUUCCUGGUGUAGCGGUGAAAUGCGCAGAUAUCAGGAGGAACACCGGUGGCGAAGGCGGCAUCCUGGACCGGUAUUGACGCUGAGGCGCGAAAGCCAGGGGAGCAAACGGG
rnacentral:rRNA from 1 species